UGUUGCCAUCUUCCUUCAGGUUAGGAUAAUGUAGGUGCGAGUAGACUGUUCUCAUAAAACCGAGGAACCAUAGAGUCUCACAGCUGAAGCGGGUGGUAGAGAUCUUAUCGCUCCACGGCUUCAUUUUUGAAUGAAAAAAAAAAAAAAGGUUCCAUUCACAAUAGCAACAAUCGCAACAACAACAACAAAAACCAUGAAACAAGUAGGAAUAACUCUAAUAAGAAAUAUGUAGAAUUCAUACGAAGAAAACUACAGAACCAUACAGAAUCAUAUCCAACUGGGAUAAAAUUAGACAGGCAGUAAUGAAGAGCCUUACCAUGGUCCUGAAUGAAAAGAGGAAAAAUUGUGAUGUCAGUUUUUAUCAAAUUAAAUGAAUAGACUUAAUUCAAGUCUACAAAAAAGUCUGGGAACAAAUCUGUGAAGAUUAGAGACCUAUUUUGACGACAGAAUUUAAGACUACACGGAUUCCUGCAGGCAUAUAAAAGCCACUUUCAAUGCUGUCUCAGAUAAAUGGGGUGGUGAGAGGAAGGAUCUGGAAGAAUGAGACUCCAGUGCUCUCUUCAGCAUCUAUAGUGAAACGACCAGUCAGAAAGUUAACAAGGAGGUGAGCCAGGCACUGAGUCCAGAUUUGCACUUAUUCAGAAGAAGGUGUGGAAAAAUAUAUAUUAACCCUUCUCAGGUGUCACUCUCCGAGUAGGAGAAUGGACAAAGCGUGAAUAUGGAGGAGGACUUUUACUUUUUAUUGAAUGUAUACAUUUAUAUUGUUUGCCAUAAACAAAUCAAACAUGUAUUAUUUUCAUACAAAUUUGUAAAAGAAAACCCUGAAGUCUGUGAUUCCCAGAGCCAAUGCUGUUUCUAUUACACAAUGAUCAGGACCCACAAAUGAACAGAAACACAAGGCAGCACAUAGGUACCAAGUGCAACAAAAAUACUCCAUCUAUCACAGUAGCUGAGAGCUAGGUCAAUGUGGGUUGGGUCUAUUUAGAAAAAAUUACACAGAGAAGAAAUAAAAUGAAGAUGAAAGAAUGUUCCAAGUAAGUGGAGGCAGGCAUAUUCCAAAAAGGGUACCACCCAUCAGUAAAAUGGUUUGGUGGUGUUCAGGGAAGAGUGUGCACAUCUUUCUGGUGGGGAGAAGGCUGU